AGGGGCAUAGCUCAAUUGGUAGAGUGGCGGUCUCCAAAACCGCAGGUUGCGGGUUCGAGCCCUGCUGCCCCUG
rnacentral:tRNA from 1 species